AUUGAACGCUGGCGGCAUGCCUAACACAUGCAAGUCGAACGGCAGCACGAUCUAGCUUUGUAGUUUGAUGGCGAGUGUCGCACGGGUGAGUAGUACAUCGCAACGUCUCCUGUUUUGGGGGAUAACAAGUCGAAAGAUUUACUAAUACCGCAUACGACCUGAGGGGGAGAGUGGGGGGGCGCUUGGCCUCAUGCGAGAGGAGCGGCGGAUGUCUGGUUAUCUAGUGUGUGGGGUAAACGCGCACCAAGGCGACGAUCAGUAGCUGGUCUGAGAGGAGGAUCGGCCACACUGGAACUGAGACACGGUCCAGACUCCUACGGGAGGCAGCAGUGGGGAAUUUUGGACAAUGGGCGAAAGCCUGAUCCAGCCAUACCGCGUGUGUGAAGAAGGCCUUCGGGUUGUAAAGCACUUUUGUGGGGAAAGAAAUGCAUCAGGUUAAUACCCCGGGUGGAUGACGGUACCGGAAGAAUAAGCACCGGCUAACUACGUG
rnacentral:rRNA from 1 species